GGGUGUUUAGCUCAGCUGGUUAGAGCGUUCGGUUCACAUCCGAGAGGUCAGUGGUUCGAGUCCACUAAUGCCCA
rnacentral:tRNA from 1 species